UCUGUUGUUAGAGAAGAACAAGGAUGAGAGUAAAAUGUUCAUCCCUUGACGGUAUCUAACCAGAAAAGCCACGGCUAACUACGUGCCAGCAGCCGCGGUAAUACGUAGGUGGCAAGCGUUGUCCGGAUUUAUUGGGCGUAAAGCGAGCGCAGGCGGUUUCUUAAGUCUGAUGUGAAAGCCCCCGGCUCAACCGGGGAGGGUCAUUGGAAACUGGGAGACUUGAGUGCAGAAGAGGAGAGUGGAAUUCCAUGUGUAGCGGUGAAAUGCGUAGAUAUAUGGAGGAACACCAGUGGCGAAGGCGGCUCUCUGGUCUGUAACUGACGCUGAGGCUCGAAAGCGUGGGGAGCGAACAGGAUUAGAUACCCUGGUAGUCCACGCCGUAAACGAUGAGUGUUAAGUGUUGGAGGGUUUCCGCCCUUCAGUGCUGCAGCAAACGCAUUAAGCACUCCGCCUGGGGAGUACGACCGCAAGGUUGAAACUCAAAGGAAUUGACGGGGGCCCGCACAAGCGGUGGAGCAUGUGGUUUAAUUCGAAGCAACGCGAAGAACCUUACCAGGUCUUGACAUCCUUUGACCACUCUAGAGAUAGAGCUUCCCCUUCGGGGGCAAAGUGACAGGUGGUGCAUGGUUGUCGUCAGCUCGUGUCGUGAGAUGUUGGGUUAAGUCCCGCAACGAGCGCAACCCUUAUUGUUAGUUGCCAUCAUUUAGUUGGGCACUCUAGCGAGACUGCCGGUGACAAACCGGAGGAAGGUGGGGAUGACGUCAAAUCAUCAUGCCCCUUAUGACCUGGGCUACACACGUGCUACAAUGGGAAGUACAACGAGUUGCGAAGUCGCGAGGUUAAGCUAAUCUCUUAAAGCUUCUCUCAGUUCGGAUUGUAGGCUGCAACUCGCCUACAUGAAGCCGGAAUCGCUAGUAAUCGCGGAUCAGCACGCCGCGGUGAAUACGUUCCCGGGCCUUGUACACACCGCCCGUCACACCACGAGAGUUUGUAACACCCGAAGUCGGUGAGGUAACCUUUUGGAGCCAGCCGCCUAAGGUGAUUGGGU
rnacentral:rRNA from 1 species